rnacentral:rRNA from 1 species
CUGGCCUCAAAUCAGGUAGGAUUACCCGCUGAACUUAA